UUAGAGUUCUAGAAUCUGGAAGUCAGAAAUCAAGAGGCUCAUGUUCCCUCUGAGGCCUUAGGGAAGAAUCUUUCCUGGCUUCCUGGCUUAUAGAGGAUCUUGGCCACCCUGGCUGUUCCUUAUAGGUGUAUCACUCAUAAAUAUAUUGCUCCAAUCUCUGUCUCCAUUGUCACAUGAAUUCUGUGUGCAAGACUACCCUAGAGAAACCACCUGGCAACCUGCCAUCCUAGAAUAGCUCACCACCCCAACAACAGCCAAUAAGAUUUGAAUAUAAUAACUAACCAAUCAUAAUGGAGGUAGAGCUUGUUACUAAGGCUAGUGUAUCCCAAAACCUUUAAAAGCUGCUUGAAAUUGCUUUUCGGGAACUCCACACUGCAUGCUGUGUUAAUAAAGUGCUCUUGUGUGUUGCAUAUGUGAGUGGUGAUCUUCUUGGGGACAUGGCGCUCGAGUAGAACAUUUGGGGGCUCAUCCGGGAUCAACUCUGCCCCUGGAAGACCCCUACUGCAUUGAGCACUUAAACUUUAGAAACUGAUCAAUUCUAUUUUGUUUACACAUCAGCCUACUUGGGAUGACUGUCAACAGUUACUUCAGAUUCUCUUCACUAUGGAGGAGAGGGAAAGAAUUAUUAAAGAGGCCCAGAAAUUAGUUGUUGGGGAAGAUGGAAGACACACCACCAUUCCUGAACAGUUGGAAGCUGGGUUUCCAUUGAGGUGACUGGAUGUGGACCCCAAUACUGAGCAUUGUUUAAAGCUCAGGAGGCUCGUUGGACCAAAGUGAAGGUGACUUUUACAGGAAUAACACCACCAAAAGCCCAUCCAUUCCAACCACGCGAUUCAGUAGUGAUAAAGAGAUGUUGAGUUGAGAAUCUUGAACCCUGUUGGAAAGGGCUCUACACUGUGAUCCUCAUAACUCCAUCAGCUGUAAAGGUUGAUGGGAUUCCAGCAUGGAUUCAUCACAACCACGUCAAGGCAAUGGGGACAAUGCCCCAAACAGACUGGAAGAUCUGAUGACAUCCAACCAUCCCACUCAAACCUCGGAUAACAAAAAGAAACCAGACACCAAGGAGAGAGGUCCCCGAUACAGGGGACUAAAACAUUGGAGAUUAGCUACUUUGUCUCUAACUUGCUUGUUAGUUUUUGUUCCAACAGGUCUCUCUAUUAAAGUGAGUCCACACCAACCCUUAAAUGUGACUUGGAUCAUCUAUAAUAUGAUAAUGAGCACUGUAGCAAAUUCCACUUCCAAGCUGGCUUCUCCUACCGCCUGGUUCCCAGAUUUACUAGUUGACCUCUGUGACCUAGUUGCCACAGACUGGGAUCCAGCUGACCGAUGGCCCUCUUGGCCACUACAGCCUUCUAACACUGGCUACGGAUGUAAAACUCCUGAAAAUUGAGGUGACACCCGUAAAAGACACUUCUAUGUCUGCCCAGGGCACUUCAGGUCAUGCUAGAGACAACGUGAAUGUGGAGGACCAGAUCACUUCUGUAAGUCUUGGGGCUGUGAAUCAACAGGAUGGAUAAUAUGGCAGGCACUAGUCAAAACUGAUUUCAUCACGGUAACCCACUAUGGGGACUACACUACAACCGGAGCAAGACACUGCCCUGGUAAGAGUGACUGUAGACCAUGUUAUGAGUCUCCCAAGUACUUGGGAACACCAGAAGAAAAAAGUAACACCCUGUUCAAAAAUACCCCUGGCUGACUACCCUGGUUUCAUCCUUAAUAAGACCUUUAGUCAUUUUGAUUUUGCUACUAACCUUUGGCCCCUACAUACUCAACAACUAGUCACUUUUUGCCAGGGUAUCAACAGUCCAACUCAUGGUGCUAAAAUCACAAUACCAAGGAAUUUCCCUAGGAAUGGGAGAUAUGGACAUAUGAGCUCAUGAUUGAGCUCAGAGUUACAUACUCAAGGGGGGGAAUGUGGAAGCCAGAGUGACUCCAUUUUUGUAAUAAAAGGCUGCAUUUUGAAUUGAGCCUUGAACCCAAUUGUUUUGUGACUGCUGAGCCAGGCAAACUAGUUCCUGGGAUAACAAAAUAUACAGAAGUAUAGAAUGUUCCUUAGAUAAGACCACCCCAGAGAAACCACCUGGCAACCUUGAAACUCUGCCACCCCAGAAUACCUCACCACCCCAACAACAGCCAAUAAUAUUUGAAUAUAAUAACUAACCAAGAUAUAGAGCUUGUUACUAAGGCUAAUGUAUCCCAAAACCUAUAAAAGCAGCUUGAAAUUGCUUUUUGGGGUCUCUAAUCUCCUAUUGGCAGACCCACUGCA